rnacentral:misc_RNA from 1 species
UGGUUCUGGCAUCGAUGAAGAACGCAGCGAAAUGCGAUAAGUAAUGUGAAUUGCAGAAUUCAGUGAAUCAUCGAAUCUUUGAACGCACAUUGCGCCCGCCAGUAUUCUGGCGGGCAUGCCUGUUCGAGCGUCAUUUCAACCACUCAGGCCCUGGUGCCUGGCGUCGGGGUGUUCCGCCUCACGGCGGAAGCCCCUAGAGACAGUGGCGGACCCGCCGCGGCUCCGAGCGCAGUAGUAAAAUAUCUCGCUAUGGAGGUCCGCGGGGGGGCUUACCGGCCGUAAAAACUUUCUUCGGAAAAUCUCAAGGUUGACCUCGGAUCAGGUAGGAAUACCCGCUGA